AAAAGGCACGUCUGGUUAUAGCUCAAAUAUCAGUCUUCUGUUAUAUCACUUGACAUAGACCAAUACUUUGUCAUGGGGCUCUUGCCUUCUUAGCAGGUCCUGUAUGUAUAUAUAUAUCACUGCUCGUCUCAUUUUGCAAGCGGCUCUUUAACCUGUCUCUCUAACACCAUAUUAAUUUAACAAAAUUGAUACACCUCCAAUUCCCCUCCAAACCAAGGGGAUCCAGGCCCGAUCAGUUGUUUUUGGUUGAUGGGAGCAUUCAAGAAAGAGAAGUAUGAGGCAAUCCAAGAGUGUUCUGAGAAGAAAGUGAAGGCAUACAUAAUUUGUGUUUGGUCAUUUUUGGUGAGUAUGGCAGGAGGAUUACUACUGCUUUUGUGGGAUUAUGAAUAUCACCCUACAAACAGUCAGCUGUGGAUGGUGCCCUUCGGUCUCAUUCUGUUUGUUACUCCGGUAAUUGCUUGCUUCGCUGUUGUCGUCUCCGAGACCUGUAAUUAUAAGGUAGAUGAUGACAUCUCUCAGAAAACGAGUGGACUUGAUGUUUAGGUUAGGUGACUCAGUUGAUACUGAAAGAAACUAUAAAGAAAUCGCAAGUGAUUCGAUACAUGUGUGUUUUAGUUGGUUACUUGUUAGAAACGUUACUUGUAGGUUUUUACUCGUGUAGGAUUUGCUUGCAUGCAUGACAGUAGUUUAAAGCAAGAUUUUAUAUGCUUAAUGCCAUUUUU